CCAAGUUCAUAACAAUAUUUUCCUUUCCUUUUCCCAAUUCCUCUUUCCUUCCAUUUCCCCAGUCUCUUUCUCUCGUUAGUGCUCUGUUUCUAUCUCUGGUUUACUAUUCUGUUGACGGGUUCCAUGAACUCCGCUGGGCAAUCCAACGACGUAAUGAAGGAGUCAGGUUUGAGGAAUUGCCUUACGUUUGGACCACGCUGUUUGAUUGUGAAUUGGACAGAUACCCUUUUGUGAAUUGGUCAAAUUUUCUGGGAAAUAAUUAGUUAAUUAAGAAAUUGGUGUAAAGGUGUCAUGGCAGAGUUACUAAGGCUAGCCCUAAUGAAUUUUGAUACCCCUAUCUUAUUCUUUUCUAAAGUAGUAAAUUUCUGCCUCACCAAUAAAUGUUCCAUCAAAAAUGAUUAUGACUAUUGAUUAGUGCUUUACUGGUUAAUUUUAGAAUGGAAAAGCUAGAGUUCAGAUUACAAAGUAGCCAAGCCAAGUCAAUUGGCACUAUAUAUCACAUCUAUAAUAUAUAUAUAUAUAUAAAAGAACGGAAAGAGGAAGCCCUUUAUACAAAGUCACAAUCAACUCACCUGCAACUGAUAGUAUAGUGCCAAUUGACUUGGCUUGGCUACUUUGUAAUCUGAAUUUGUAAUUUUCCAUUCUAAAAUUAACCAGUAAAGCACUAAUCAAUAGUCAUAAUCAUUUUUGAUGGAACAUUUAUUGGUGAGGCAGAAAUUUACUACUUUAGAAAAGAAUAAGAUAGGGGUAUCAAAAUUCAUUAGGGCUAGCCUUAGUAACUCUGCCAUGACACCUUUACACCAAUUUCUUAAUUAACUAAUUAUUUCCCAGAAAAUUUGACCAAUUCACAAAAGGGUAUCUGUCCAAUUCACAAUCAAACAGCGUGGUCCAAACGUAAGGCAAUUCCUCAAACCUGACUCCUUCAUUACGUCGUUGGAUUGCCCAGCGGAGUUCAUGGAACCCGUCAACAGAAUAGUAAACCAGAGAUAGAAACAGAGCACUAACGAGAGAAAGAGACUGGGGAAAUGGAAGGAAAGAGGAAUUGGGAAAAGGAAAGGAAAAUAUUGUUAUGAACUUGGGACAACCACACCUCAAAAGACAAUUUUAGCUCUUAGUUGCAGAUUUUUCUUAUUCAGUUUUUCCACCUUAUGAGUAGCAUCUAAAUAGGAAGUUUGUUUUUUCCAUUCUUGUUUUUAUGCACCUUACGUUUGGACCACGCUGUUUGAUUGGAUCUUCACGGCAAGUAAUCUGUUUCAUAAUAGGAC
rnacentral:lncRNA from 1 species